UCCUUGGGACUUUUUCUUCUAGGUCUGCAGCUGUUCUCUUCUGUGAGCUCACCCUACCCCUUCUCCUCCUCCUCCUCCCCCUAAUUGUCUCGAGGGUAUCCAUUCACUUAGAAACUUGCUUCUGGU
rnacentral:lncRNA from 1 species